AAAAGUCCUCCAUUGUGACACCUGUACUGUCACAACACAGGACAAAGUUUCUUUAAAAAUCAUUUUAAAUAAUUAAAUAAUAUUUGUUUAACUCCUUUUUUUACUUUUAAAUGUAAUAAUUACAUUCAUUAAAUUAAGCUCUAAUCAUCAUCAAAAAAAAAAAAUGAAUCUUUAGAAUAUAUGAAAAUUUCACUUUUUAAUACAAAAAGUUACAAAAAAUGAACUUUUUUCAUGAUAUUCACAUUUCUUCAAGAUGCACCUUUUACACACACACACACACACACAAACACACACACACACACACACACACACACACACACACACACACACACACACACACACAUAUAUAUAUAUAUAUAUAUAUAUAUAUAUAUAUAUAUGAGUGUUCGUAAAAGCAACAAUACAAAAUCUUAAACUAUAAAAGUGCCACUUUGUCCCACUAUUAUGUGCAGGCCUGGCAUUUUGCACUGGGCUAUAGAACUACAAAAUGAAUUUUAAAUUAGAAAUAUCACGAUUGAAUGACAUUUUGAAUUAUGUAGUGAUCUAAUUCUAUCCACCAAACAAUUGCAUGUGAAUUUGUGAGACUUAUGGUCAUGGUUAUAGGGAAAUAACAAGAAGAACAAAGUGCAGUAAACUGUAAAACUGUUUGCACUACAAACCAGUACGUUCAUAAUUAAGACAAUACAUUAAAAAUAACAUGGUAAUACAGCAGUUUGCAACAGUAAACGGCAAAACAAGCUGUUUGUACAGCUAAUAUAGCUGGAAUGACACCGAAAGCCAGACACAUUAAAUCUACAAAUGGCCGCGGCCCCUCUUACAGAAAAAAAAGGGGGCAUAUGUUUAUUCAUAUGUUUAUUUAUGUAACGUAAGCGUGUGACUUUUAAUUCGUGACGUGCUUUCAUGGGCGUGCGCCGCGCGCGGACCGGAUGGAGUUGCCAUGGAAACGGAGCGCAACACUGCAAAUGUCACGAGGAAGCACCCCGUUUCUCGCUGAUUUCACUGUUUUCAGGUGAGUUAAGUCCAUAAAAUCACACAAAUAUUACUUAUAACUGUUGUUGACACUUCUCUUACUUGUAUUUGACUCGCUUCUGUUGUUUAUUUACUUUAUAGGAAUGGUUUAAUGUCUUCGAAAAAGUCCGUUAGCAUUUCUACCGUUUUCAGACGACGUAUCGUCAGAAGGGAGUGUCCAAGAUUUCAAUAUUUCUGAAGGGAGCUGCUGACAGAGAUGUAGGAAGCGCUGAAAAGAUUCUUCAGUGCUGAUGGCCUGCUGCAUCCAGCAGAGUCGGAGUGAACCUACUGUAAGACAACAUCUCCAAGAUGCUACUGACCACACGACUAGUACAGUAAGUCAAACCUCAAAUAUACUGUACACUAGUGUUCAAAAGCUUGAAGUUGAUACAAUUUGUAAUAAUUAUC